UACCAGCACCCCGAGUGGUCGGGACGAUUAUUGGGCCUAAAGCAUCCGUAGCCGGUCCUGCAAGUCUUCCGUUAAAUCCAGCUGCUCAACAGAUGGGCUGCGGGGGGAUACUACAGGGCUAGGAGGCGGGAGAGGCAAGCGGGUACUUUAUGGGUAGGGGUAAAAUCCGUUGAUCCAUAGAAGACCACCAGUGGCGAAGGCGGCUUGCCAGAACGCGCUCGACGGUGAGGGAUGAAAGCUGGGGGGAGCAAACCGG
rnacentral:rRNA from 1 species